rnacentral:rRNA from 1 species
AACGAACGCUGGCGGCAUGCCUAACACAUGCAAGUCGAACGAGACCUUCGGGUCUAGUGGCGCACGGGUGCGUAACGCGUGGGAACCUGCCCUUAGGUUCGGAAUAACUCCCCGAAAGGGGUGCUAAUACCGGAUAAUGUCUUCGGACCAAAGAUUUAUCGCCUUUGGAUGGGCCCGCGUUGGAUUAGCUAGUUGGUAGGGUAAAAGCCUACCAAGGCGACGAUCCAUAGCUGGUCUGAGAGGAUGAUCAGCCACACUGGGACUGAGACACGGCCCAGACUCCUACGGGAGGCAGCAGUGUGGAAUAUAGGACAAUGGGCGAUAGCCUGAUACAGCAAUGCCGCGUGAGUGAUGAAGGCCUUAGGGUUGUAAAGCUCUUUUACCCGGGAUGAUAAUGACAGUACCGGGAGAAGAAGCUCCGGCUAACUCCGUG